AUUGAACGCUGGCGGCAUGCCUUACACAUGCAAGUCGAACGGCAGCACGGGUGCUUGCACCUGGUGGCGAGUGGCGAACGGGUGAGUAAUACAUCGGAACGUACCUUAUCGUGGGGGAUAACGCAGCGAAAGCUGUGCUAAUACCGCAUACGCCCUGAGGGGGAAAGCGGGGGAUCGAAAGACCUCGCGCGACUAGAGCGGCCGAUGCCUGAUUAGCUUGUUGGGAGGGUAAAAGCCCACCAAGGCGACGAACAGUAGCUGGUCUGAGAGGACGAUCAGCCAUAUAGGGACUGAGACACGGCCCAAACUGCUACGGGAUGCAGCAGUGGGGAAUUUUGGACCAUGAGGGCAACCCUGAUCCAGCAAUGCCUCGUGAGUGAAGAAGGCCUUCGGGUUGGAAAGCUCUUUUGUCAGGGAAGAAACACCGGCUCUAACACAGUCCGGGAAUGACGGUACCUGAAGAAUAAGCACCGGCUAACUACGUGCCAGCCGCCGCAGUAA
rnacentral:rRNA from 1 species